rnacentral:rRNA from 1 species
UACGGAGGGUGCAAGCGUUGUCCGGAAUCACUGGGCGUAAAGGGCGCGUAGGCGGCUCAUGAAGGCUGUGGUGAAAGUCCGGGGGCUCAACCUCGGAUCGGCCGUGGCGACUCGUGGGCUGGAGCACUGUAGAGGCGGGUGGAAUUCCGGGUGUAGCGGUGGAAUGCGUAGAGAUCCGGAAGAACACCAGUGGCGAAGGCGGCCCGCUGGGCAGUGGCUGACGCUGAGGCGCGACAGCGUGGGGAGCAAACAGG